rnacentral:rRNA from 1 species
CGUGUAGGCGGCCCGGCAAGUUGGAUGUGUAAUCCUGCGGCUUAACCGCAGAACUGCAUCCAAAACUACCAGGCUUGAGUACGGGAGAGGAGAGUGGAAUUCCAAGUGUAGCGGUGAAAUGCGUAGAUAUUUGGAGGAACACCGGUGGCGAAGGCGGCUCUCUGGAACGAUACUGACGCUAAGGCGCGAAAGCUGGGGGAGCAAACGGGAUUAGAUACCCCGGUAGUCCCAGCCGUAAACGAUGGGCGCUAGGUGUGGGAGGAUAUCGAUCCCUCCUGUGCCGGAGCUAACGCAGUAAGUGCCCCGCCUGGGGAGUACGGUCGCAAGACUGAA